rnacentral:misc_RNA from 1 species
AACGCACAUUGCGCCCGUUAGUAUUCUGACGGGCAUGCCUGUCCGAGCGUCAUUUAAACCCUUAAGCCCAGCUUAGCGUUGGCGGAUUGCUGCGUCCAGCGCUGCAACCGCCCAAAUCCAUUGGCGGUCCCGCCGCGGCUCCCUUGCGUAGUAACUCACCUCGCACCGGAUAGACACGAAGUCCACGCCGUAAAACAACCCAAUUUCUGAAUGUUGACCUCGGAUCAGGUAGGAAUACCCGCUGAACUUAA